GUUGACCGGGACGCAAGAACCUUGCCUCGUCAAAUCUGGAUCGACUCUGUGCCGUGUUAGCUUCCGUCCUUCACCUUGAUUCACCUCAAGAACCUGCAAAAGACAGAACGGCGCCGCUGCGGCCGAUCGCGCUCCGACGCCCAAGUCAGCGACUGAACCACCAAAAUACUAAGAGAAAACUAAGAACUUUCAGGAACCGUGCAAAAUUCUCUCUUAGCGUACUCAAGUUCUCGCAAGCGUAAAAGAAGUAUUCUAAAACGCGCGUACCUCAGAAGUUCGUUAGAAUCUCUUAUAUACCUGUGCACUUUCUCUCUCCUGACAGUUACACAUCUGGACACGUGGCUCGCAUCCAGCUGUACACGUGUCACCAUCUGGAGCAUCCUUGACUUGGGCGUCACCUCUUA
rnacentral:lncRNA from 1 species